GGCUCAUCCAGAGGGGCAGAGGGAACGGCCCGGCGAAGCCCCGGCAACCACCCGCACGCUGUGCGUGCGCGGCAGGUGCUAAUUCCGACCUGUGGCAGGUUGCCGCGGGAAAGAUGAGGA
rnacentral:ncRNA from 1 species